AGGAUUCUUGCUUCAACAGCGUUUGGACGGAGCUU
rfam:Scleropages formosus scaffold19246, whole genome shotgun sequence.